ensembl:lncRNA
ACUCUUGUGUCAUGCUGCCCAAGUAACCUUCAGCUGCUGCACAGGCAAUCUGCUUAACUGCAAUGAAAAGGCUUAAUAUUGGAUGACUCAUUACAGGACUUAGAGCUAUAUCCAGUGCUUAUUCAGCCUUCACUCUCAAAUGUCCUUCAGUGCAAGGAGUUGAAUGCAUAUUGCUGGGCUUUCUUAAGCCAAAGAAAGGAUGGGAGGGACCAGCCUUCCUCUCUUUGUCAACUGCAUCUUUGAUCCGUACCUGCUUCCAGCAGCAGAGGAGUAAGGGUGAGGUGGCACAGGACUGGGGAGAGAGAUGCUUUCUUCAGAGUUUUCUAAGUGCCUCUGCUGCAGUAAAAAUCAAUGGUACUCCUGGAUCUGAUUGCCUGUUCCAGUGCUGUCCUGUGGAAAAACACCUCACAUCAUUUAAUAGUUUAAUUUGCUGAAGACCUUCAAACAAUUUCAUCUAAGAAGCACUCUCUGACUGAAUAUAUAUUAAAAAACUUUCAAAUGAAAACGCCUGAGAGAAAGCCCAGGCAACUGAUACCAUAAGGCCUAGGAGUUAAUCAGUAAUGAGGGAUAAUACUCGGGUUUGUGGAGUUGAAAUGAUGGGUGAGAUCUUAGUAGAGAAGAAAAGAAGGUCAGGAGAAGAGAGAAGGAGAUUCUGCUGGGAAAUUGGAGCCUUCUCUCCCCGAUCUUGAACCAAUAUCAUUUAAGUCCCAGCUGCCAAAAGAUUUCUUUCUUACUUGUUCAGUAAACCCUAGCAAGAGUUGGUUUGGCCAAUAUCUGAUUCACAGUGCCUUCCAGAUACCCUGUAGCCUUUUAAUCUUAUCUACCAUUAGCUUUUCAUAUCUGUUGAGACACCAGCUUCUCUUGUACAAUUGCAACUGCUCUGAAGCAAGAGCUCUCUGGACUGUUGUAGAAAUCCACAAAAUCCAUCUAAAGUCUCACUCAAAUAUAAAAAGAACCAAUUUAUGUUCAGUGAGAUUUGACACUGGACUUCAAUAAUACUGUAAUUGAGUCUGUGUCUCUAACUUCUGUCCUUUAUUUCUCUCUAUUCCUUCAUUUUCAUUGUCCUUCAUCCUUCCCCCAAGUACAUUUUCUUUUUGAUUGAUUUCUCAAUCUCUUCUUCAUUUCUGUUCCUCCCUUUUCCCUGUGCCACAAGCUUUCCUUGUGCCCUUUCUCUUAUGCUUUACAUUGUCUUUUCAUUUUCCUUCCCUCCCUCCUCCCCCCACCAUUCCUUCUACCUUCUAUUGUUGGUUUUUUUGUUUGUUUGUUUGUUUGUUUUGCUGACACCUCUUUCCUUCUUUGCCACCCUCCCCCCCUCCUGGGGCUCAGCUGUGGCCAUCAGUAACUCUAGGGCAGAUCCACCAGUGGACUUUCAGCCUUUUCAGUCCCUGAGUUCCCAGAGGUUAGCCCAGGGUCAUAAAAUCCUCACAUUCCCAUUUCUCUCCAUUUCUUCUCCUUAUGGAAUGCUAAGCAGAGGCAGGGAGAGGUGCUCACCUGUAUCCCUUCCAGCUGAAAAAGGGUGCUGUGGGACAUGGUGUCUUUUCACAGGCACUACUGUGUCUUUGGGGAAAGGGUCUGUACUGGAGGGCUGAUUUAAAACUUUUCUUCUCCUGCAGUCAAGAUCAAAUAACUUGUAUCCAGAAACAUUUAUUGCCUAAGGGAUUUGACUGUGUCCUGUUAAUAACAAUAUUCCCUGAAUAGAUUUUAACACAUUCUUUUUUCUUGUUCAUUUAAAAUUGUUGCCUGAAAGUUUCCAUUAAAUGAGUUUAGACAUUUCCCU